CUUAAAUUGAAGAGUUUGAUCAUGGCUCAGAUUGAACGCUGGCGGCAGGCCUAACACAUGCAAGUCGAGCGGUAGCACAGAGGAGCUUGCUCCUUGGGUGACGAGCGGCGGACGGGUGAGUAAUGUCUGGGAAACUGCCUGAUGGAGGGGGAUAACUACUGGAAACGGUAGCUAAUACCGCAUAACCUCGCAAGAGCAAAGAGGGGGACCUUAGGGCCUCUCGCCAUCAGAUGUGCCCAGAUGGGAUUAGCUAGUAGGUGAGGUAAUGGCUCACCUAGGCGACGAUCCCUAGCUGGUCUGAGAGGAUGACCAGCCACACUGGAACUGAGACACGGUCCAGACUCCUACGGGAGGCAGCAGUGGGGAAUAUUGCACAAUGGGCGCAAGCCUGAUGCAGCCAUGCCGCGUGUGUGAAGAAGGCCUUCGGGUUGUAAAGCACUUUCAGCGAGGAGGAAGGCGGUAAGGUUAAUAACCUUAUCGAUUGACGUUACUCGCAGAAGAAGCACCGGCUAACUCCGUGCCAGCAGCCGCGGUAAUACGGAGGGUGCAAGCGUUAAUCGGAAUGACUGGGCGUAAAGCGCACGCAGGCGGUCUGUUAAGUUGGAUGUGAAAUCCCCGGGCUUAACCUGGGAACUGCAUUCAAAACUGACAGGCUAGAGUCUUGUAGAGGGGGGUAGAAUUCCAGGUGUAGCGGUGAAAUGCGUAGAGAUCUGGAGGAAUACCGGUGGCGAAGGCGGCCCCCUGGACAAAGACUGACGCUCAGGUGCGAAAGCGUGGGGAGCAAACAGGAUUAGAUACCCUGGUAGUCCACGCUGUAAACGAUGUCGAUUUGGAGGUUGUGCCCUUGAGGCGUGGCUUCCGGAGCUAACGCGUUAAAUCGACCGCCUGGGGAGUACGGCCGCAAGGUUAAAACUCAAAUGAAUUGACGGGGGCCCGCACAAGCGGUGGAGCAUGUGGUUUAAUUCGAUGCAACGCGAAGAACCUUACCUACUCUUGACAUCCACAGAAUUUGGUAGAGAUACCUUAGUGCCUUCGGGAACUGUGAGACAGGUGCUGCAUGGCUGUCGUCAGCUCGUGUUGUGAAAUGUUGGGUUAAGUCCCGCAACGAGCGCAACCCUUAUCCUUUGUUGCCAGCGAUUCGGUCGGGAACUCAAAGGAGACUGCCGGUGAUAAACCGGAGGAAGGUGGGGAUGACGUCAAGUCAUCAUGGCCCUUACGAGUAGGGCUACACACGUGCUACAAUGGCGUAUACAAAGAGAAGCGACCUCGCGAGAGCAAGCGGACCUCAUAAAGUACGUCGUAGUCCGGAUUGGAGUCUGCAACUCGACUCCAUGAAGUCGGAAUCGCUAGUAAUCGUAGAUCAGAAUGCUACGGUGAAUACGUUCCCGGGCCUUGUACACACCGCCCGUCACACCAUGGGAGUGGGUUGCAAAAGAAGUAGGUAGCUUAACCUUCGGGAGGGCGCUUACCACUUUGUGAUUCAUGACUGGGGUGAAGUCGUAACAAGGUAACCGUAGGGGAACCUGCGGUUGGAUCACCUCCUUACCAAGAAG
rnacentral:rRNA from 1 species